rnacentral:miRNA from 1 species
CAGGGGUCACUUUUUUGUUU